GACGAACGCUGGCGGCGUGCUUAACACAUGCAAGUCGAGCGGUAAGGCCCCUUCGGGGGUACACGAGCGGCGAACGGGUGAGUAACACGUGAGCAAUCUGCCCUCCACAUCGGGAUAACCCCCGGAAACGGGAGCUAAUACCGGAUACGACCACUUCAGGCAUCUGAUGGUGGUGGAAAGUUCCGGCGGUGGAGGAUGAGCUCGCGGCCUAUCAGCUUGUUGGUGGGGUAACGGCCCAACAAAGCUUCGACGGAUAGCCGGCCUGAGAGGGUGACCGGCCACACGGGGACUGAGGCACGGCCCAGACGCCUACGGGAGGCAGGAGUGGGGAAUAUUGGACAAUGGGCGAAAGCCUGAUCCAGCAACGCCGCGUGAGGGAUGACGGCCUUCGGGUUGUAAACCUCUUUCAGCAGGGACGAAGCGCAAGUGACGGUACCUGCAGAAGAAGCACCGGCCAACUACGUGCCAGCCGCCGCAGUAACAC
rnacentral:rRNA from 1 species